UACGAAGGGUGCAAACGUUGCUCGGAAUUAUUGGGCGUAAAGCGCACGUAGGCGGCUUUGCAAGUCCCAUGUGAAAUCCCACGGCUCAACCGUGGAAGUGCAUGGGAAACUGCAGAGCUUGAGUACUUAAGAGGAUCGCGGAAUUCCCGGUGUAGAGGUGAAAUUCGUAGAUAUCGGGAGGAACACCAGUGGCGAAGGCGGCGAUCCGGGAAGAUACUGACGCUGAGGUGCGAAAGCGUGGGGAGCAAACAGG
rnacentral:rRNA from 1 species